GUCAAGCGAACAAGUGCAUGUGGUGGAUGCCUUGGCGAUCACAGGCGAUGAAGGACGCGGUAGCCUGCGAAAAGCUUCGGGGAGCUGGCAAACGAGCUUUGAUCCGGAGAUGUCCGAAUGGGGAAACCCGGCCCGAAUGGGUCAUCCCACACUGAAUCCAUAGGUGUGGGAAGCGAACGCGGCGAACUGAAACAUCUAAGGUACCAAUCGAAUUC
rnacentral:rRNA from 1 species